rnacentral:rRNA from 1 species
UACGUAGGGGGCGAGCGUUGCCCGGAUUCAUUGGGCGUAAAGGGCGCGUAGGCGGGUCUUUAAGUCAGGGGUGAAAUCCUGGAGCUCAACUCCAGAACUGCCUUUGAUACUGAGGAUCUUGAGUUCGGGAGAGGUGAGUGGAACUGCGAGUGUAGAGGUGAAAUUCGUAGAUAUUCGCAAGAACACCAGUGGCGAAGGCGGCUCACUGGCCCGAUACUGACGCUGAGGCACGAAAGCGUGGGGAGCAAACAGG